GACGAACGCUGGCGGCGUGCUUUACACAUGCAAGUCGAACGGAAAGGCCCUGCUUUUGUGGGGUGCUCGAGUGGCGAACGGGUGAGUAACACGUGAGUAACCUGCCCUUGACUUUGGGAUAACUUCAGGAAACUGGGGCUAAUACCGGAUAGGAGCUCCUGCUGCAUGGUGGGGGUUGGAAAGUUUCGGCGGUUGGGGAUGGACUCGCGGCUUAUCAGCUUGUUGGUGGGGUAGUGGCUUACCAAGGCUUUGACGGGUAGCCGGCCUGAGAGGGUGACCGGCCACAUUGGGACUGAGAUACGGCCCAGACUCCUACGGGAGGCAGCAGUGGGGAAUAUUGCACAAUGGGCGGAAGCCUGAUGCAGCGACGCCGCGUGCGGGAUGACGGCCUUCGGGUUGUAAACCGCUUUCGCCUGUGACGAAGCGUGAGUGACGGUAAUGGGUAAAGAAGCACCGGCUAACUACGUG
rnacentral:rRNA from 1 species